rnacentral:rRNA from 1 species
AGUGAACGCUGGCGGUAGGCCUAACACAUGCAAGUCGAACGGCAGCACAGUAAGAGCUUGCUCUUACGGGUGGCGAGUGGCGGACGGGUGAGGAAUACAUCGGAAUCUACUUUUUCGUGGGGGAUAACGUAGGGAAACUUACGCUAAUACCGCAUACGACCUACGGGUGAAAGCAGGGGAUCUUCGGACCUUGCGCGAUUGAAUGAGCCGAUGUCGGAUUAGCUAGUUGGCGGGGUAAAGGCCCACCAAGGCGACGCUCCGUAGCUGGUCUGAGAGGAUGAUCAGCCACACUAGAACUGAGACACGGUCCAGACUCCUACGGGAGGCAGCAGUGGGGAAUAUUGGACAAUGGGCGCAAGCCUGAUCCAGCCAUACCGCGUGGGUGAAGAAGGCCUUCGGGUUGUAAAGCCCUUUUGUUGGGAAAGAAAAGCAGCAGGUGAAUACCCCGCUGUUCUGACGGUACCCAAAGAAUAAGCACCGGCUAACUUCGUG